CGCCUCUUGAAUAAAUAUAAGAGGUCCAGCCUGCCCAGUGACUCUGUUCAACGGCCGCGGUAUCCUAACCGUGCGAAGGUAGCGUAAUCACUUGUUCUUUAAAUAAGGACUAGUAUGAAUGGCAUCACGAAGGUUAUACUGUCUCCUCUUUUUAAUCAGUGAAACUAAUCUUCCCGUGAAGAAGCGGGAAUGAAAAUAUAAGACGAGAAGACCCUAUGGAGCUUUAAACUAUGUAGCACUUGCACCUAUAAAACAUAAAUUUCAGAAAAACAUAUAUUACCCAUGUAAGAUUACUACCAGUUUUAGGUUGGGGUGACCGCGGAGCAAAAACAAACCUCCACAUUGAAAGGAACCCACUCCUUAGCCAAGAGUCACACCUCUAUGCACCAUAAUAAUGACAUUAAUUGACCCAAUAUUUUGAUCAACGAACCAAGUUACCCUAGGGAUAACAGCGCAAUCCACUUUAAGAGCUCCUAUCGACAAGUGGGUUUACGACCUCGAUGUUGGAUCAGGGUAUCCCGGUGGUGCAGCCGCUACCAAAGGUUCGUUUGUUCAACGAUUAAAACCCUA
rnacentral:rRNA from 1 species